UGUGAAGCUGGAUGCGAAAGACAAAUGAGACAAGGGAGAGACACCCUCUGGGGGCGAGGCCAGGAGCGGUGGAAGGGGCCCUCCCUGCGGUCUUUCUGGAGGCAAUCUAGCACCCUGGUCAAUAUCAGGGUCUCCGAACGCAGAGAGGCAGGGGUUUAAAGAAGGUCCUGACCCUGGGCCAGUGGCUUCGGCCAGGUGUGCCUUGCUUUUCUUCCACAGAAGAUGGCCAUGAUAUUCCUGCCUUACUGAUUAGUGGUAAGGAUGGCAUUACACGACGUACCUAAAGUGCUGGUACUUAAUAGACACACACAUGUUUCUUCUAAUCAGUAUCGUCCUUGUCUUAAUCUAUAACUACCAAGUUUUUGUUGUUGUUGUUGUGUUUGUUUUGUUUUGUUUUAACGAGGGUUUUUUUUUCAUCUGGGGGAGUCCCAGAAGAAGCCACGAUUUGCACCAAUCCUCGCAGAUGCUCCUGGACUGUUCCGGCAGAGAACACCUGGGCUGUCAGGAUCAUCCUUUAAAGAGCGGCACGUGGGGAUGCACUUUCAGCUUGCAGACGAGGAAACUGAAACAUGAGGAGUUAAGUAGCCUUUCCACGAUUAUACAGCUACUAAAUAGGAGCCCGGGCAUUGAAUGCUGGUGGUGUGGAGUAGACAAAGCCUGCUCACCUGUCAGUUAUAAUAUCCUGCCUCUUCCGGGGAAAGGAAAGGGAAGAAGGACCUAAGACCUGCCUCCCAUAUAAGUAACACCGUGUACUGGAGAUGUCACUCAAAGUAUUGGAGGUGUUCGGCAAGGAAGAGGAUGAAACAGAGACUGUGUUUGUAUAAUAAUAAUGCACUAACACAAUGCUCAGAGAGAAAGAGAACACAGGCUAGAGAAGACGUUGUCUGUCUUGAAUGGGAUUCCCUCCUUAGCAGAAGAAGGGCAUAUGGUCACCAUGCAGAGCAUUAAGUCUGAAGACCGUCUCUUUCCCUCUCUCUGGGCUGGCGCGUGGACUCUUACAGAAAGGACUGAUGCUAACUAAGGAGGAAGGAUGAGAGACCAGUGAUUCAAGAGGCUCCAGGGCACCCAUUGUAUGAACUGCUAAAUGAUUGCAAGAGCAAAGCAAAGGACCAUUUUGCUCCACCUCUGGUCUCCGUGAGUUCAAGGUUGCCUGCCAGAGUUUUUUUCCCCCUGUUGGUAGUAGACUGCACUUAGGCUGCCUCCCACAAGCUAAGGAGGAACCACCACCACUCCCAGGAGAACAGCUAACAUUCACUGAAGGCUUAUUUAAAGUCCCUCACCAGGCCUUCUUCUGUGCCCUCGCAAAACCUGAUCUUUAUGCAGGCUUUCUUCUCCGCAAAUUGGAAAAGCCAGAGCCAGCUGUGUGUCCCGAAAUACCUUGGAGACGUUGCUGCCAGGGGAGUUCAUGAGUGGGGACCAAAAUAGGGCCGACGAUUUUUUUCCUAGGAGUCUGACUACCCAAGGGGCUGCCUGCUCUGCGUUGACGUGGCUUUGUUCAUUUCUCCGUGACAAGAGACUCGUGGCUGUCAGGACAAGAUCCUUGGAAGCCCAGGGCUGAAUUCGAAGGCAGCUUUCCCCUUGCAGGCUCUAACCAAAUCCUUGUUCUCAGAGGAUCAGCCUUGCACAAGCUCUGAGAGGGGCCCGCUGGGCUGGGUGAUUGCCCAGUCUUGUCCCAAGUGCGGAAUUUCACUUGGUGGCCUCGCAGAAGGCCGAUUAGAGGGGGUGCUGAUGACACCUUGAAAACCUGGCUGCAGAUGUUUUGGGCCGUCUCUGGGGAUGCCUCCUCUUCCUGAAACGGCAGGGCACCCACUCCUCUCCCUGCACACCCCCACCCCUGCUCCCUCUACCCAUUACCACUAAUCACCACCUUGAAGUUUUAUGACUUUACAACUACUGUUUGGUGAGCUCCACCUGAAGGGAAAUAAAUCCUCAAAGUGAAGGCAAUUUGUCAGCGCAAUAUUAAAACGAAGUGUGGAGAAGAAACACUUCAGCAAAAGCCAAGCUCGCUAACCUUUCAAAAGGAAGUGUAUUUAAUUUGAGCUGAAUCAGGAAGACUGUUUGGCUGUCUUCUGUAUUUAUAAGCAUUAUGUGUAGGCUUCAUGUUACCCCAAAGUCUGCUUGUAAUCCUGUCCCUCUGCAAAAAAAAAAAAAAAAAAAAAAUGUCUUCUUAAGCUGUAAGCUGCAUUCUGAAUUCUCACUAGUCUGCAAUGCUUGUAUGCUUGUUCAACCCACCUUAGGGCCAUUUCCUGAAUGUUACUUCCUACCUCCAUCUUCCUACCCCUUCCUCAACCCUUACCACAUCACGCAAAGGAAGGCUGUUAGAUAUACCUCAGAGAUGGGAUUUUUAAUAUAACAUCUUAACUCGUGUUCCUGUCCCCAGUUUCCACCUCUCUUGCCAAAAAGCAAUACAAACUAUUCUCCACAUAGUUGUGAAAGUGAUAUUCCAAAAAUAUCUAAUCACAUUGCUCUCCUGCUUAAAACUUCUAUGGCUCCCUAUUGCCUACAGAAUCGAGUCUAAACAACUUAUAAUGGAAUCCAUGGUUGUUCUCUACCUCUACCCACAGCUGUGUUGUUUCAUAGCUUCCAUGCCUUCCAUGAUUCUGAUUGGAAUACUUCCACUGUUUAAUCUCAGGACUGGGGAAGUCCUAUUCAUCCUUCAAACCCCACGCCAGCACUCAUCUCUUUUAGGACAUCUUUUCUGACUUACUGUCUGUGUAUUUAAUCAUUUCCUCCUCAUGAUUAUUUCUGCCUCUUGUACCUGCUUGUAGUGGUGCACUUAUUGGGUAUUAUAAUUGG